GAAUUCUUGCAGUUACUUCUAGCCAGCUUACUUGUAUCAACACAGCAGGUCCACUAAACCAACAAGUGAGAAAAGAAAAUUAUAUUAUUAAUGCCAUUCACAAAUCAAAAGUUGUAAAUAUCGCAAGUUCAUUUAAUCGGGUAAUUUAUAUUCAUUUAAAAUCCCACAUUUCCUAAGAACAUUAGACACUUUAGCAGGCAACGAUGAAAUGAUUUGCACAUUUUCGUCUUGGGGCUCCAACAUAAAAUGUGUACCCUAAUUGGGUAAUUCUAAGUUUAACCAUCAAAAGGUUCAGAUCUAAGAUGAGGAAGAAGGGUCGGAUCUGAGAUUAAAAUGUUAUAACUUCCAAAAGUCGGAAGAUCAUACGUUCAGAUCAUUCUCUACGCUUCAUUGACACAAAUUUUGAAUUCAAAUUCAAAUUAGAGAAGAUGAAGAACAAUGGAGACGAUGAAGAAGAUGCAGAACAAUGGAGAAGAUAAAAGAACAACAAUGAAAAAUUCGGACAAAUGUUUUCCAACGACCAACGUAUGUAUGUUUGCAUGAAAUUUGACACAUGACAAUCUAACAGAAAUAUCCGAAAAGGUAUAUAGAAGGAAAUUCAUUGAAAUUACUCACCUAUCAGGUAUCUUCCAGUAGCGUUUAUCGGUACCCCCCCAAACAAUGUUCAGUCCUUGUGGUUUAAUUUUCACAGCACACCCAUCCUGUUGGCACAUAAAAUGCAUUAUUAUUUGAUAAAAACAAAUUCAUUCUCUGUGUGUGUGUGAUUGUGUAUUUAAUAACUUAAACUAGGUUUAGAAUUUAUAAUAUAUUACCUGUUCGUAUGAUAUUUUACUUGGAUCUCCCACAUAGUGAGGUUUUGCAACAAAAGUAGAAACUCUAGCUAGUGUGGAAGACAUAAUUAGCUACACUGCAAGUGAACAACAAAGUCAUAUAGAACUUGUAUAUAUAUAUAUAUGGCUUUGCAUAACAUUCUAUAUGAACAGAAUAUUAUUAGCUUAUUAUCCCCUCAAGGAAUAUGGACAAAAGGAUUAACACUAGUUGCAUUAAAGAUGUUUUAAUGAUUCCAUGUUCUUUUCUUUCUUUUGAAUCCUAUAUACGUAAUAUCCCUUUUUGGGGAUACGUAAUAUGUACCAUGUACUCUUUCUAUGUUUAAUUGCGCGAUUCCUUUGAUGCUUUUUCAAUAAAACUCUCUAGUUUGUUAUAUUCUUCUUCUUAAGCACACGAGUCUAGAUCUUCAUGCCUGUACUUCAAGUUAUGUGUGAUUAAUUCAUAGAAUCACCUAAACUUAUCUAGAAGAAAACUCUUACAUGACUUACCAGUGCGCUCAUUGCGUGUAUCACUUUUUUAAUUCUUGAUGCUGACAUAACAAUGGGAUGAUUGGGUAGGUGCCCGAAUCAUAUAAGAAACGUUGGAAACAAAAAAGAAAGAUUCCCAACAAUGUAAAGAAGAAGCAUAGAUGUUACUGAGAAACUGACAAAAGUCAUCAACUUGAAAAAUAAUCUAUCAUCAUUUUUCCAAAUUUAGUUGUUGUUGGGAAAAUCGAUAAUAAUUCAAUAAACCCAAAGUGCGAAAUAACCCAAGAUCUAGAAGAAACAAUUAUGAUAAUAAGAAAAUGAAUGAGCUUGUGGCUCAAUGGUAGCACCCCUCUUAUAAAGUGGAGAGAUCGUGGGUUCGAAACACGUCAACAGCGGAUUGUUAAUAUAAGUUUACACACGUAAUUUAAAAGGGGUAGGGGCCCCCUCAACCUCGCUUGCCAACAAAAAAAAAAAAAAAACGAAAACCAAUACACAAGAUAUACGUGUUGGAACCCUCACGGAGAAUAAACCACCACAAGUAAAACAAAAAACUUUAUUAUCUUCCACCAAAAGGAUUACAAGAUGAGAUCUCACACAACUCAACCUCACCCCUUUUACAAAAAGAACACAAACCUGAAACUCUACAAGUAGUGCUAUUACCACAAUUUCAACUAAUCAAGUAAACAAAACAAUGAACAAAAAAUAGAUGAUCAAAACACGAUAUUUUUAACGUGGUAAAACCCAAUGUGGAAAACGUCCACGGUUGUCCUCGCGACAACAAAUAAAUCCACUAGAUGAAAAGAGAUGUACAAACCUAUCAACUACCUGCAAUCACUGCGAGUUGACACUACUGGUUAUCUCUAACACCUUGACUUCACCAGAGUACUUUGAUAUACGCACAAGAGACUCGACUUCUUGAUGAACACACAAGAAGACUCGAAGCCGAUCUCAAUAUUCAAUAAGGAAGAAGAAGAUGAAUGGGAAGAAGAGAGUGAGUUCAAUUACCAAAACAAACCUAAACAAACUCAAGAAGAAGACUUGGAAUUGGACGACCAAAGAACUGCUUUGUUCUUUGAUUGAAAACCUAUUCAUACUUAGGGUUUUUCAAAGAGAGAACAUGGGCCAAAAACAUACAAAAUACACGACGACAUACGUACGCCCUAACUAGGUACGUACGUCCCUGAAACGAAAAGUACUCUGAAAUAAUCAACGUACGUACGUCCUAACUAGGUACGUACGUCCUAACACACAAGAAAAAUUCUGCCCAACUCUACGUACGUACGUCCUAACUAGUUACGUACGUACAACAACAAACAACAACCCGAGAUACUUGAAUUAGAGAAGAAGACACGGGACGACGCUCACACAUCAAGGUACUUCCUAGUAAUAACGUCAAGGCGAGAUAACCUCAGACACUCCUAAGCUAGUCACAAAAUAAUGUCAAACAACCGAUGUCGGUUUCAAAACCUAAAAAUCCCCCAACAAAGAUUGCUCCCAAGUUUCACAAGCCUUCAAACUUUAAAUCUCCAAGUUUUGAAUUUCUGAAAACUCCCUUAGACUUAUGUUUAAUGUGGCUUCUGAACUUCUUAAGGUUUCCUACACUAUCAUGACCUUAUAUAGUGUUACAAGGAAAAAUUAUGGUUUACCACGUCAUGGGCCCAUAUACAGUUUACCAUCCAGAGGCAAUAAAUCUGUCAGAACUGCUGUCCAGAGGCACUUCUCUUAUCAGAACUUCAAAUGCAGUUUCCAAGAAAACUACUGUGAACUAGAAGGUCUGCUAUAUACCAUUGGGAAGCUAAGAGAGUCCUCUUUCCAACUCAAAAGACAGAUCACAAUUCCGAGUACCUAAACGAAAGUUAUGACUUGUUUUCUACAAUGUAUCAAAACUGAAAAUAACAAAAACUGAACAACAAUUCUCCACCUCGACGAAGAAUGAAUAUGUAUAUAUGUGUAUAAAUGUAUGAAUAUAUGCAUAUAUGAAUGAAUGAAUAUGUAUAUGUAUAUAUGUGUAUAAAUGUAUGAAUAUAGGAAUAUAUGAAUGAAUGAAUGCAUGUAUUUGUAAAUAAAUGUAUAUGUAUAUAUGAAUGUAAUAUAUAUGUAGAUGUACAUAUAUGAAUGCUAUCAUGUAAUAUAGGAGCAAUAGGAAUACUAUCAUGAAAUGGAUAGAGUGAGAAUCGAACUCUUCGUCGCCCCCAAUUGUGAGGCAAUUUGAAUAACAUCGCAUAUAUAUGGUGAAAGGCGCGAAAUAGUCGUUAAUUAGAUUGCGCUUUUCAAAACCCUUCUUUGACUACCUAAAACGAGUAUAGCUUCAAGAAAGGUUAUCGAAUCCACCUGUAAGAGAGAACCAAGUUAAAUGAAGAAGAGAAUUUUAUUUUUACUAAUCUAGAAUAAGGGGAAAAUAAUAUAGCAACCUGGUAGAUGGUGAUUAAUUACUACUAAUGUAAGAAAUAAUUGUAGGAAGAUAAAUAUGAUGAGUGUUUCAAGAGAUCGAAUCCACCAAUUCAAAAAUGUAAUAAUUAAUGUAUAGAUUUAUCAAGAUUAAUCCGUAAAUAGAUACUCAUUAAUUACAUACUAAGAUGAUUCGAAAUGCAUAAUGGAAAGAUUGGACAUUAAAAACUUAUUUUAUUUACGUUAGAGUCUAUCAAUUUUAAAAAAUCAACGAUACUUCUUAUGAUUAAUUAAAAUGUGAGGAAAGACUAAAACACAAUGUGUCAAUGUACAACUAUUAUGUUAGUGGCAAGAAAUAGUACGUUCGUCUUUCAGACCGUCACUCAAUGUUUCUCCGAAUAGCUAUAGCAAAGUGUAUAUUCCACCUACUAAAAGAAUUUAAAGAACUAAGAAGAUAGUAAAUAAACAAUGUUAUAUUUUUAAUUUCACAAAUAAAUCAUUGCAAUUACUUUCCUCCAACCUUCUCUCGAAGCGCUAGAUCUUUAACCUCCAAAAUUACUCUAAUGGAUUAAAUUCUUAACAAAUCAUAUACUAACUACUACAUAAAAUGAAAAGGUUUCAUCUCUCCCUUGAAAAAGGGAGAUUAGUCUAGUAUAAUACUAAACUAAAAUCUAUUAAAUGAAAUGAUAUAAAAUAAAAACUAACUAAACUAAAAGAAGAAGAAAAGAACUUUAUUAGAAUGAUAGAAUGUAGAGUUUUUGCUUUCACUUCUUGAUGAUGAAUAUAGAGCUUCUUAUUUAUAAAUCCAUAGGGAGCCUAAAAGGGAAAAUUAUAAAAUAUUGCAUAAUAUUUCAUUUGAUUGAUAUCAAAUCAAUAAAUAAAUAUUUCUGGAAAAAAAAAAUGUCAAGAAUAAAUUCUUUGAAUGAUUGUGGUGCAAGAUCAAUGAGAAACAUGUGUUGGAAAUCAAGUCCUUGCCACCACUGUUGCCAAUUCUGUACAAAACUGUCAUAUAUAGUGGCAUUCUAAAAGAUGCUGACAAUCUUCCUUGGAUGGCUGAGUUGUCUCAUUAUUCUACAUAUUUUACACAUGCUAGAAUCUUAAAUAUCAAUCUUGAAGUGAUACUAUGCUCCAUCUUUUAUUAGUAGUCUUACUUCACUUAUUUUCUUAAUGGGCCUCUUUUGGACUUAAGCUUUAUAGAUCUUUUACAGGGUCAUUUAGAGUUAAUCCACUAAGAUUGAUUCAAGGAUUUGACCAUUUGGAUCCAUGACUUUGGGUUUCAGACUUGAUUUUUUUUCUUUUUGCUCUUUUUAUAUCAUUUUGUAGGUUUUUCUUUGAUUUAUUCUUUUCUAGGUUCUUUCCUACAAAAAUACAAAAACAAUAGAAAUUACUCUAAUUCAAGUCCAAAAGUGAGUUCUAACAUCAUACUAAUUAGGGGUAAAAACUAUGUUUUUGGAUACUUAUCAUAUGGCUACAUUAAAGUAAUCUAGAAUGAUGACUGAAGCGAAUGGUGGUCGAAAUUCGCGCCCCCAAUUGCGUGUGAUUGAGGGAUGAACAAAAUUAUCGAUUUUGUGUUGACGAAUCAUAUGCUAGCUAGCACAACAUGUGGAACUCUUAGCAAUGACAUGAAGUUUUCCUUUGCAAAAAUAGUUAUUCGAAAUUGUUAGCUGGGAUCUUGAUCUGAUGUAACCAUAAGGUUGAUUCCUGUAAGUGGUACUUGAGUUCACGAAUCAUUAAAAUCCCUAACUAGUUGUUCAAAAAAUAUUAGCUUGGAUUUUGGUUUGUCGCAAAUCCCUAGAAACAGUAAAUAACUUUUUGAGCAUUAACUUAGAAUCUCAGCUUUGUCAAUUAACGUUAGUUGUUCGAAAAUGAUAGCUUAGAUUCUGAUUUGGUACAAAUCCUUAGAAUCUCGAUCUAACGACUUUUUGAACAUUAACUACUUGAAAAUGUUACAUUGGAUUCUGAUUUGUAACAAAUUAUUAAUCCUUGACAAUAUUCCACUGGAAAAUCGUGAUUUGUUGAAAAAUUCUGAUAAGUCUGGAAAAAUGGCUUUUGGAGAAGGAUAGUCUAACAAUGUUUCUGUCCAGAAAAUACCAGUAGGUAGAGCAGCAGCCGUGCCAACAACUAAGGCAGCAGCAGUGCCAGCAGGUAGGGCAGCAGUCGUGCCAGCAGGUAAGGCAGCAACCGUGCCAGCAGUUAGGGCAGCAAGCAGUGCCAGCCGUUAGGGCAGCGGACUGGGCAACAACCUGGGCAGCAUCAUGGGCAGCAACCAGGUGAUGGGUAAAUCUAUUAUUAAGGGCAAAUAUUUUAUUUUUUUUUAUUUUUUGAGAUUUGGUAGGUGAUGGGUAAAUCUAUUAUUAGAUAUUUUUUAUUUGAUCCGGUAGCUAUAAAAUGUGUAUAAUGGCAAAAAAAAUUAAGGAAAAAUAAAUCAUCGUAGAACAUAACUAUUGGCAAAAUUCGGAACCUAAAUGUAUAUACCUAUGCUAAAAAUAAUGACUUUAUAAAGUAAAUAAGAAUUAAAACAGUUGGGCUCAACUGGUAAAACCUUUAGGUGAUGAUACCAGAGGUCUGGGGUUCGAAUCCCGCCAGCAUUAUCGAGUUACUGAUCUCAUUAAAAACAGGCUUACGAAACCAUUUUUCCAACCAAAAAAAAUAAGAAUUAAAACAUAAACAAACAAAUUAGGUUGUGGACUUGUAGCCCCAUUUUGAAAGUGGCCAUCAGAAGCUAAUCAUCAAAUGACAUGUGUUAGCUGAGUUACAAAUUUUAGCCCACCAGGUCCUAAAAUAUGUUAUAUUUUAUUACAUAAACCAAACUUUAGUGACAUGUGUUAAUUUAUGAUUAGCUCCUCAUGGCCACAUAUAAUAUGGGGUCAUAGAUUAAAUUUUCAGAGACAUAAAAUAUUAAAUUCUUAUUAAAAAGUAAAAUAAAUUAUAAUGUAUACCAACUUUUAGUUUCCUCUUAUAUUUUAGGACAUAAAAUUACGAGUGAUAACCUAAUCUGCACACAGAACAAGCUUAGGAUCACCUUAUUUUUCAUUUGACUACCACAGUAAUUCUAUCUAAAUGGCAAUUUAUAGUCAAGACACUCUUAUUACAGUUUGUGUGUUUACAGGCAUCGCAAAUUAAUUAAACUAUCAAUUUAUAUUAUGAUGACAAAUAUAUAUCAUAUACAAAUCGAGUUCACUACUCCAUCUAUUUAAGAAAAACAUUUUAAUGAAUAACACUAAUUAAGUAAUUUUUGUUCGAGAAUUAUUCAUUCAUCAUGCCAUAUAUGAAUUCAGUACUGGAUUAAAGAGAGGAUUUAUGUUGAAGCAGGUUCGACUCUAGCUUCCUGAAUGAGUAAACCACCCUUCCACCUCUUUCUCCAUACUUCGUACAGCCCAAAAUAAAGGAUAUCACCUGAAUUUGUCUCAGCAGGAGUAACCUGAAGUGGUUCAUCAAGUGAUAUAGAAAUUUUAGAUGGUGGAUUUGUAGGAACACCGAGGACGUGACGCUUCCACUUGUAUUUACCUUUCUUCCCUAUCUUUGCCAUUAUGUGAAUUGGAAUCUCAUUCCAUCCAAAAGCAUCUGGCUGCAAGUUUACAUCAAAACUGACUUUAUACUUUAUUCCAGGUUCCAAUUUUGACAGAGGAAUUUUUGCAGUUACUUCUAGCCAGCAUACUUUUAUCAACACAGCAGGUCCACUAAACCAACAAGUGAGAAAAGAAAAUUAUAUUAUUAAUGCCAUUCACAAAUCAAAAGUUGUAAAUAUCGCAAGUUCAUUUAUCGGGUAAUUUGUAUUCAUUUAAAAUCCCCCACAUUUUCUAAGAACAUUAGGCACUCUAGCAGGCAAAGAUCAAAUGAGUUGCACACUUUCGUCUUGGGGCUCUAACAUAAAAUGUGUACCCACAUUGGGGGUGAUUCAUUUGUGCAUUAUCUGCUACUAGUAUCUCUAUUAAUAACUGUAACCACAUUAGAAAUAGUUCUUAAAUUAUCAAUUUUUCCACACAAAUUAACAUAAGGUUUAUUAACAUAUAUGAACCUAUCAGUCGAAAUGUAAAACUUCUGACAGAUGUUUGCCAAUGUCUAUUUGCAUAAUGCAAUUUGACACAGGACAAUCUAAAAGGAAAUAUCUGAAG
rnacentral:lncRNA from 1 species